CCUUGGCGGCGUGCUUACCAUGCAAGUCGAACGGUGACGGAGGAGCUUGCUUCUCCUGAUCAGUGGCGAACGGGUGAGUAACACGUGAGUAACCUGCCCUUGACUCUGGGAUAACUCCGGGAAACCGGGGCUAAUACUGGAUACGAAGCGCCUCGGCAUCGGGUGCGCUUGGAAAGUUUUUCGGUCAAGGAUGGACUCGCGGCCUAUCAGCUUGUUGGCGGGGUAACGGCCCACCAAGGCGUCGACGGGUAGCCGGCCUGAGAGGGCGACCGGCCACACUGGGACUGAGACACGGCCCAGACUCCUACGGGAGGCAGCAGUGGGGAAUAUUGCACAAUGGGCGAAAGCCUGAUGCAGCGACGCCGCGUGAGGGAUGAAGGCCUUCGGGUUGUAAACCUCUUUCAGUAGGGAAGAAGCGAAAGUGACGGUACCUGCAGAAGAAGCGCCGGCUAACUACGUGCCAGCAGCCGCGGUAAUACGUAGGGCGCAAGCGUUGUCCGGAAUUAUUGGGCGUAAAGAGCUCGUAGGCGGUUUGUCGCGUCUGGUGUGAAAACUCAAGGCUCAACCUUGAGCUUGCAUCGGGUACGGGCAGACUAGAGUGCGGUAGGGGUGACUGGAAUUCCUGGUGUAGCGGUGGAAUGCGCAGAUAUCAGGAGGAACACCGAUGGCGAAGGCAGGUCACUGGGCCGCAACUGACGCUGAGGAGCGAAAGCAUGGGGAGCGAACAGGAUUAGAUACCCUGGUAGUCCAUGCCGUAAACGUUGGGCACUAGGUGUGGGGCUCAUUCCACGAGUUCCGUGCCGCAGCAAACGCAUUAAGUGCCCCGCCUGGGGAGUACGGCCGCAAGGCUAAAACUCAAAGGAAUUGACGGGGGCCCGCACAAGCGGCGGAGCAUGCGGAUUAAUUCGAUGCAACGCGAAGAACCUUACCAAGGCUUGACAUACACCGGAAUCGGCCAGAGAUGGUCGCGUCUUCGGACUGGUGUACAGUGGUGCAUGGUUGUCGUCAGCUCGUGUCGUGAGAUGUUGGGUUAAGUCCCGCAACGAGCGCAACCCUCGUCCUAUGUUGCCAGCACGUUAUGGUGGGGACUCAUAGAGACUGCCGGGGUCAACUCGAG
rnacentral:rRNA from 1 species